CCUACGGGUGGCAGCAGUGAGGAAUAUUGGUCAAUGGACGCGAGUCUGAACCAGCCAUGCCGCGUGCAGGAAGACGGCUCUAUGAGUUGUAAACUGCUUUUGUACGAGGGUAAACUCAGAUACGCGUAUCUGUCUGAAAGUAUCUUACGAAUAAGGAUCGGCUAACUCCGUGCCAGCAGCCGCGGUAAUACGGAGGAUUCAAGCGUUAUCCGGAUUUAUUGGGUUUAAAGGGUGCGUAGUCGGUCGGAUAAGUUAGAUGUGAAAUCCCGAGGCUCAACUUCGGAAUUGCCACUGAUACUGUUAGGCUAGAGAGUAGUUGCGGUAGGCGGAAUGUAUGGUGUAGCGGUGAAAUGCUUAGAGAUCAUACAGAACACCGAUUGCGAAGGCAGCUUACCAAGCUACGUCUGACGUUGAGGCACGAAAGCGUGGGGAGCAAACAGGAUUAGAUACCCUGGUAGUC
rnacentral:rRNA from 1 species